rnacentral:rRNA from 1 species
ACAACUUUCAGCAACGGAUCUCUUGGCUCUCGCAUCGAUGAAGAACGCAGCGAAAUGCGAUAAGUAAUGUGAAUUGCAGAAUUCAGUGAAUCAUCGAAUCUUUGAACGCACCUUGCGCCUCUUGGAAUUCCGAGAGGCAUGCCUGUUUGAGUGUCAUUAA